rnacentral:rRNA from 1 species
CCAAUAGCGUAUAUUAAAGUUGUUGCAGUUAAAAAGCUCGUAGUUGAAUUUCGGGGUUAGUAGGCUGGUCAUGCCUCCGGUAUGUACUGGUCUCACUGAUUCCUCCUUCCUGAUGAACCGUAAUGCCAUUAAUUUGGUGUUGCGGGGAAUUUGGACUGUUACUUUGAAAAAAUUCGAGUGUUUAAAGCAGGCUAACGCUUGAAUACAUUAGCAUGGAAUAAUGAAAUAGGACGUUCGAUCCUAUUUUGUUGGUUUCUAGGAUUGACGUAAUGAUUAAUAGGGAUAGUUGGGGGCAUUAGUAUUCAAUUGUCAGAGGUGAAAUUCUUGGAUUUAUUGAAGACUAACUACUGCGAAAGCAUUUGCCAAGGAUGUUUUCAUUAAUCAAGAACGAAAGUUAGGGGAUCGAAGACGAUCAGAUACCGUCGUAGUCUUAACCAUAAACUAUGCCGACUAGGGAUCGGAUGAUGUUAAUUUUUUAAUGACUCAUUCGACGCCUUACG